CAGCAGCCGCGGUAAUACGAAGGGUGCAAGCGUUACUCGGAAUUACUGGGCGUAAAGCGUUCGUAGGUGGUUGUUUAAGUCUGUUGUGAAAGCCCUGGGCUCAACCUGGGAAUUGCAGUGGAUACUGGGCAACUAGAGUGUGGUAGAGGGUAGUGGAAUUCCCGGUGUAGCAGUGAAAUGCGUAGAGAUCGGGAGGAACAUCCAUGGCGAAGGCAGCUACCUGGACCAACACUGACACUGAGGCACGAAAGCGUGGGGAGCAAACAGGAUUAGAUACCCGCGUAGUCCCUGUCUCUUAUAC
rnacentral:rRNA from 1 species